UUUUUCUCCCAUCAGACAUCAUCAAAGAUGCGGCUCCGAGAAGAGGACAUGGACAGGUACCUUCCUCCUGUGUGCCUGCAGAACAAAGACCAGAGGGAUAUUUCAGAAAACAGGUUUAACGAAGGUGUAAGCAGUCUGUUCCUUCUUCUGGUGGGAGAUGGCAGAGUCCAUGUGGAUCAGACCCAGGAAGUUCAGACACAGAGGAGGGGUCAAACGACAGAACAACCUGUAAAUCAAGGGAAAGACAAAACAUUACACAACCUAAUUUUUGUGCAAUUUCAAACAAUAAAACUGGACUAGACAAAAUAAAGGGCAGUUUAAAAAAAAAAGUGCAAUGGAGACAAAAAAAAAAAAAAAAAA